GAACACGUCAAUUUUUAAGAUGUUACAUUAAAAAAAAGAAAGACAUCUAAUUUUUAAAAUCUAGUGCAUGUAUGUAUGUAGUGCACUCUUUAAUUUUUCUCUAUAAACAAGCUUAUGAAGCUAGAAAUAUUAAGUACCAGUAGGCUCAAAGGUAUGUAUUGUAUAUAUUAACUCUAAAAUAUCAAAAAUUGUCUCAAUCAAUUAUAGAGAAAUAUUUUAGAUCAUCUUAAACUUAUGUUUGUGACAUUGUAUAUUAUAUGCUUAUUGACAAUUAUCAGUUAUCACUAUAUGGAGGUGAGUUUUCUUAAUACGGGAUCUAGAAAAAUUAUAACUUAGUACAAGGUGGAGUUUAUUCCUACAUAUAGUUGGCUCAAGUUGGAAUCAGAAAUUUUUGUGACUUUAUUCCUAUAUAAAGUAUCUCUAUAGAGUAGUUAAUUUGUCUAGCCAUCAUGUAUUUCACAUAGUGUGUAAAGAAUGAACUUCCAAGGAGAGACCUUGGAUGGGUUUAUAAGUAAGUUGUGCAACUUCCCAGAUUGUCAAUUGGUUUUAUGAUGGAACCUCAAUUUUUUUCAUGGUAUCAAAACAGGUUGUCACGCGUGGGAAGCCUAAUGGCCACACGUGUUCCCCAUCA
rnacentral:lncRNA from 1 species